rnacentral:rRNA from 1 species
UACGCAGGGGGCUAGCGUUAUCCGGAAUUACUGGGCGUAAAGGGUGCGUAGGUGGUUUCUUAAGUCAGAGGUGAAAGGCUACGGCUCAACCGUAGUAAGCCUUUGAAACUGAGAAACUUGAGUGCAGGAGAGGAGAGUAGAAUUCCUAGUGUAGCGGUGAAAUGCGUAGAUAUUAGGAGGAAUACCAGUUGCGAAGGCGGCUCUCUGGACUGUAACUGACACUGAGGCACGAAAGCGUGGGGAGCAAACAGGAUUAGAUACCCUGGUAGUCCCU